rnacentral:lncRNA from 1 species
CGGGUAUUACGGGCGUGGCUAUCUUUGAACCUGUUCCGCUGAUUGGCUACUGGACUAACAAAACAGAGUCGACUCAUCGAAGUUUGCCAAAAGUUUAUUGCUAGUUAUGUUAGCAAAGUGGCGAAUUUAUAAGCACAUAUGGCAAUAAAUAUAACGUUUUAUUAUAAAGUUGUAGAAUAAAACUGACAUUUUAUUUACCGUCCGAGUCGAAGUAUCGAAACGGGGAGUAAAACGCAUUGUUCGAACUGGACCGCCUAACCCUAAAACAAGUUCCAGUGUAUUUUUCUGGGAAAUCAUGGCAUGACUUCAUCUCUUCUGGGAAAUGAAUAAGGGAACAAGCAAGAAAAUGUGAAGACAACAGUAGAAGGACAUUCAGCUAUUGAUAGUAAUCUAUAUCACGUGUAUCUUAAAAAAACAAAUCGGGCUUCUCAGAGUCCCAAUCCCGCUAGCAAGCCAAUCUCCACACUGAAUCAUUUCAGAAGGCUGCCGAGGAGAGCUGUAGGUGGCACUGACAAGGCAAGCCAAAACUCAAACAGUAGGAGAAAUGCAGCCUCGUGGACUGACGGGCAACUCUGUCUGAGGAUCUCUGGUCUGGGGCUGUGGUCAUGUCUCUAGACAGGACUAACAGUUCAAGGACAAACAACCUUACAUAAAAAGGGAAUAUUAGGAUUUUCCAACAACUCUUGUUGUGAAGGUUCAGACCACUUCUCCUAGGUCCAGCAGAUGUUUUUGACUUUUAGUUUUUCAUUAUCACAAUUUUUCGGAUUAACUGGGAU